rnacentral:rRNA from 1 species
AUUGAACGCUGGCGGCAGGCCUAACACAUGCAAGUCGAGCGAGCGGCGGACGGGUGCGUAAUGUCUGGGAAACUGCCUGAUAGAUGGGCAUAACUGCUGGAAAAGGUAUCUAAUACCGCAUACAAUCCGAUGUCCCCUGAUGGGGUUAGAUAGUAGGUGGGGUAACGGCUCACCUGGGCGACGAUCCAUAGCUGGUCUGAGAGGAUGACCGGCCAAACUGGAACGGAGACACGGUCCAGACUCCUACGGGAGGCAGCAGUGGGGAAUAUUCGGCAAUGGGCGCAAGCCUGACGGAGCCAUGCCGCGUGAGUGAAGAAGGCCUUCGGGUUGUAAAGCUCUGUCAGCGGGGAGGCGUUACCCGCAGAAAAAGCACCGGCUAACUCCGUGCCAGCAGCCGCGGUAAUUC